UACAGAGGGUGCAAGCGUUGUUCGGAAUUACUGGGCGUAAAGCGCACGUAGGCGGUCUUUUAAGUCGGGGGUGAAAUCCUGGAGCUCAACUCCAGAACUGCCUUCGAUACUGGAAGACUUGAGUCCGGGAGAGGUGAGUGGAACUGCGAGUGUAGAGGUGAAAUUCGUAGAUAUUCGCAAGAACACCAGUGGCGAAGGCGGCUCACUGGCCCGGUACUGACGCUGAGGUGCGAAAGCGUGGGGAGCAAACAGG
rnacentral:rRNA from 1 species